CAUACCUAGACAUCGAAAACUCUGUAGAAACAUACCUAGACGACGAGAGCCAAGGAGAAGUAUACCUAGCAAAUGAACAGUAUGGAGCUGUCCACGUAGACAUCGAAAACCAUGGAUGAAUCUACCUAGACCACGAAAACCAUGGAGAAACAUAUCCAAACAUCGAAAACCAUGGAGGAACAUACCUCAACCACGAAAACCAUAAUGGAACAUGCCUAGACAUUGAAAACUAUGGAGGAAUAGACAUCAACACCUAGACAUCGAAACCGGGAGGUAGCGUUGCAUUUACAUAAGUCAUAAUAAGCCGGCUGAUAUUGAUAUUGAUAGUCGAUCUUAUAUGACUAAUAAGAGAAGCGCUCGUCAGCCGAUCAAGUAACAGUGGGUGUGGGUGUGGGACGUUGCGGAAGUAGUAAAAAAAAAUAAAAAUGAAGUACACCGGCUGAAACUUUUUUCAUGAAUAAUUUACAUUUUGAUGAAUUGAAAUUAAAUCGUCAGCUGCAUCGCGGGUGGGAGAUUAAGCGUCAGCUGCUUGCAUGAAGUUAUUAAAAAAAAAACACGUAAAAAAGUUAUAGUACGCCGGGCCAAAAUCGAGUAGGUGAUUGUUUGAGAAAUUUAAAGCACGAAAAAAAUAGUCAGCUGCGUGUGUAGUGGUGGAAAGACCGUCAGCUGACGCGGUAAAGUUGAAAAAUAUCGGAGCAUAUUCCUUUAAACACGUAUUUGGAGAUGGAUUUCGAGCUGCUUGGGCCCAAAUAAUGACCUUCGGGCUACUUGAGCCCCUCCCUCUAAAAUUUCAAAGCAUCAUUUGCGUGUGCCUGUCCUUCAUUUGACGUACGAGAUCAGUUCCGGGUGAACUCUUCGAAUGAACGGAUACAAGUCCAAAUAUGUCGGAGAUUCAACCUUUCUGUAUAUUCUGAUGUAAAAAAAAAACAGGAAUUUUAACAUUGUUCGCGGAAAAAACUGUGGAAAAAUGUACCUCUGUGUUGGAGAUUCGCCAAAAAAACAAUCUUUCUAUGCAAAGUGUCAAAGUGCCGUUAAAAUCAAACGAUUUCGAAAAAUAUUAUUCGAAGUGCUAUCGUCAGUUUACGGCUUUACCGCCAAAAUAUCUAAGAGCCGUUGAAACUCCUUCAACAUCAGCAGCGGCAAGCUCGGAAACGGACGCUCAAAUAUCAGAAGCAGUUGAACAUCAAAAUAAAAACAUCGACGUGUCAUCCAACCUUGCUGAAAGCCAAAUCAUCUCGCCAUAUGCUUCAUCGAGUAUCGGUGAUCAAUCCGAUGUUUUGAACACUGUUUCAAUCGAGGAAGCAGAGGAAGACGCUCAUGAUUCCACAGAACAACACGUGUGCGUUUUCUGUAUCAAGAGGCGGAAAAAACAUCAAGGCCGCGAGCAACAGCUACAAACAUGUACGACCGAGGAAAGUAUGUAUAAUUUAAGGCGUAACGUGAGCAAAGUAGGUAAUGUAGAUUUAUGGGAUAGAAUUAUUGCGCAAUAUUUAAGCAAUCAAAUUGUUUUCUACCAUAAAUUGUGCCGGUCAAAUUGUCGGAACACACUCAAGUAGUCACAGAUCACCGCACAAAGCGAAAAAAAAGAAUGGCACAAAUCACGAGAAGUCCACAAAGAAGCGUUUGAGCAAGUAUGUCGCUUUGUUACAGAAAAUAUCGUUAAAAAACAACAAUGUUAUUUUUUAUCGUUUUUAAGAUCAGUUUUCACCGAUUUUGCCAAAGAUAUUGAAUUAUCUACAGACGCCGAACCAUAUAAUUUGAAAAAAAGAUUGUUGGAAACUUUUCCCAAAAAAAUUUUCAUUGUGUGUAUGAACACAAAAAAAGUUGUAAAAUCCUAUGCCAGCGUUACUAUAGAAAAAGAAGGCAGUUUGAAAACAGCUAUACAUUUUUUGCGAUCGGCAAUCCGUGGCAUAAAACGUCGUCCACUACCAGACGCAUUAACAGCAAAAAACUUAAUAACAGGAGAAUUCGACAGUCCAAAAAUAUUAAAUGAUUUUUAUUCGAAGUUGAUAUGUUCUACUUUUCGGCGGAAGCAUAAUUCAAAGGUAGCCAGAUUGGCUCAAUAAUUCUCCGAAGAUUUGAUUUAUGCUGUCUCUAAUGUGCAAGUUAAACCUUCGAAACAUUAAUUUUGGUCUGGCAUUGAAAAGUUUAACGAACAGUCAAAAAAUUAUCAACAUCAUUAAUAAGUACGGGCAUUGCUGUGGCUAUACUGUUUUAGAAGAAUUAGAAACUGAAGUAACUUUUUCUUCUACACUUCGAUCAGAAAUUUGACCUGAUGAUAUCAUUCGCGUAAAAAGUUUAUGCACAGGAUUAGCUUAUAAUAAUUUCGAUCGAUUUGUAGAUACGCUAACAGGCAAAGACAUGUUACAUGGUACUGUUGGCAUUAUAUUUCAGGACAUUGUUGAUUCUGCUCAGUAUGAUUCCACAAACGAUCCCCCUCAAGAUUUUGAAAAUAUCGCUGAAAACACCGCGGAUUUAGAAAGUGAUGCACAAAAUUCUGGGAGUUCUAGGAGUUUGAAAAAGAGACGGCGCACUUUUGAUGCUAUAACGUUUGAAUUCGAACCGUACAACGAGAAGCCACAAUUUUGUGAAACUUUAGAGCCGGUCGAAAGUCUUUUGCGAUUACAUAUUCCUGAAAAUCUUCGAUCAUUCAAACAUCUUGAUCUCGCUUGGGUACGCUCUCAUUAUCUAAAAUUGCCAAAUACUCCAUCAUGGGUAGGAUACAAUAGCAUGAUUCAUCAGGAUACAAGUUGCAAACAAAAAGUUUCAUAUUUAACGACAAUAAAUUCUUCUCCAACGAAUAUAACAGUUCUUAUGGAAACAAUGAAACGGAGCUAACAAGUCGCUUUGGAAUGCGAUGAAAAAUAUAUAGAAGUCACGUACGAUUUAGCUAUCGCCAAAAUCGCAUUGUAGAACCAAAGUACGGAAAAACCGCAAUUUGAUAACGUGUUCAUUCAUUUUAGAUCGUUCCACAUUAUAAUGGCAUAUUUUAAAGCUAUAGAAAAAUUCAUCAACGGUUGCGGAAUUACGAAUGUAAUGCUAAACAGCGAAAUACUUGCGAGCGGCUCCAUAAAUAGUUUUACAACUGGCAAACACUUCAAUAGGUGCAAACGGUUACAUACCGGAAAUAACUGAUGAAAUGAAGAAAUAUUUAUCAAAUUUCGUGAUGGACAAAUCAGUCAAUCCAACAGUUAUGAGAGAAGAAUUUAUUAAUUUGUUUGUAAAGUAUGAAGAGUAUAAACAACAAACACUCAAUGGCGAGUAUGGCAAAACUCCGCAAUUUUACAUGAUUUAUGUGAAUUUGAUUGAAUAUUAUUUCAUGCUAUCCAGAAGUAUUUGAACAGCGAACCUCGAACUUUUUCGAUUUGUUUUACUGAAAAUUGCAAAUCUCUUUUUCACUUUCAACCAACAAAACUAUUUACGUUAUACCGUGAUAUAUCACGAGAAAUUGAUGAAAGCACAUGAAUCUCAUCCGGGGUUACAGUUGCAGAUCGGAAGGGGAUCGUUUGGAGUUAAAAGAACUGACAAACCAUUUUCGAGACAGCCUAUUGAUCUUAUGCUAGAGCAAACCAUAAAUGCAUAUGUUGCAAAUAAAUUGACAAGAAUAAUGCAUACUACAAAUUCAAUUUCGGCUCUUCAACGUUGGUGUAAAAGCCAUAGCAUUCGCUCAAUCAUUAUUAGUCACAUAAUGGAGCAAACAGGAUUGAAAAAGUCUCAGGACAUUACUGCUAACCUUGAAAAAAGCAGAAUAAAAAGAAAUUCGUUGCAGCUCGGAAAUGUCAUCACAAAUAUCAAACAGAAUAUCAAUCCUUUUUCAAAUGAUUUAAAAGAAAGUUUGUUAUACAAAAUUUCAACGGGUUAAGCUGUACAAGCGAACAUUGAACAAUUUUUACGUAAUGUAGAGAAUCGUGGAAAUGAGCUACGUGAACAAUUUAUCAAAGAAUGUUUCGAAGAUGUAGAAAGAUUCGAAAAACCGAUAAAAAGAAUAAAAUUUUGACUUUCGUGGAUGCAGUACCAAAAAAAAGGUUGCUAUUUCGGGAAAACUUGUAGAAGUUCGAAUGCAAAGCGACUUAUUUGCACAGCUGCUAUUAAUUUCUCUGGAGCAAACAUUAAAUAUUGACAAAGUUUUGUCGUAUCCAUUAACGCCAGUUCCCUUAGCUAUGUGUCACGCAGAUGGGGUAAUUUGUAAAACCGAUAAAUCAGUUUUAUUGAAAAUACUAGAAAAAGAAACUGAUAGUAAUACACCACAAAGAUGUGAUGUACUAAUUGAUGAUGGCCUUUUUAUGCUCCAUGCAUUAAAAGACGUUCCGUCUACAUUUGGAAAUAUUUCGAAAAAAAUGAUUCAAAUGUUCACUAAAAAUAAUGCGCGCAUUAUUGUAAUCACAUUCGAUCCUAACUUUUCGCCAUCGAUUGAAGAUAACGAGCAUUUGUUAAGAGGUGGGGUAAAAGGUCAACAGUACCGUAUAAAAGGCCCUGAUCAAGUUUGUCCAGCUAAUUUUGCUAACGAAUUGAAGAACAUUCAUUUCAAAGCUGCCUUAGUGGAAUUUCUUUGUGACGAUUGGAAAAAUAAUUAUAUGGCUAGCUAUAUACGCAAUAAAACGAUCUAUGUUAACUACGAGUUUUGUUAUAAAUACAAAUCACAAAGUGAUGAAGUUGUAAGAACCGUCGAUCACAAUUUAUCUUAUCCAGCUCACGAAGAAGCUGACACAAAAAUUGUAUUUCACGUUUGUAAGAUUGAUUUCGAUGCUCACGUUACGAUAACAUGCUCAGAUACAGAUAUCUGUAUAAUAAUGCUCGGCAAUAUGAAUGCCAUUCAAAACGAUGUAGAGUCGCGGUAGUGACUCAAAGACAAGUACAUUUAUGACGUCGCUGCCAGAGACUCUUUACAGGAGCCAUCGCUUUUCUACUUGUUUCGAAAAUUUCUUUCUUCAAUAAAAAAAUAAUCACAGAA